GACAGAGGGGGCAAGCGUUGCUCGGAAUUACUGGGCGUAAAGGGCGCGUAGGCGGGAUGGCAAGUCGGUCGUGAAAUCCCUCGGCUCAACCGAGGAACGUCGAUCGAUACUGCUGUUCUUGAGGAUUGCAGAGGAGACUGGAAUUCCCGGUGUAGCGGUGAAAUGUGUAGAGAUCGGGAGGAACACCGGUGGCGAAGGCGGGUCUCUGGGCAAUUCCUGACGCUGAUGCGCGAAAGCUAGGGGAGCAAACAGG
rnacentral:rRNA from 1 species